GUCGUGCUUACACAUGCAAGUCGAACGAUGAACCAGGUGCUUGCACUUGGGGAUUAGUGGCGAACGGGUGAGUAACACGUGAGUAACCUGCCCCUGACUCUGGGAUAAGCCCGGGAAACUGGGUCUAAUACCGGAUAUGACUGUUCACCGCAUGGUGGGUGGUUGAAAGAUUUAUCGGUGAGGGAUGGACUCGCGGCCUAUCAGCUUGUUGGUGAGGUAAUGGCUCACCAAGGCGACGACGGGUAGCCGGCCUGAGAGGGUGACCGGCCACACUGGGACUGAGACACGGCCCAGACUCCUACGGGAGGCAGCAGUGGGGAAUAUUGCACAAUGGGCGAAAGCCUGAUGCAGCGACGCCGCGUGAGGGAUGACGGCCUUCGGGUUGUAAACCUCUUUCAGUAGGGAAGAAGCGAAAGUGACGGUACCUGCAGAAGAAGCGCCGGCUAACUACGUGCCAGCAGCCGCGGUAAUACGUAGGGCGCAAGCGUUAUCCGGAUUUAUUGGGCGUAAAGAGCUCGUAGGCGGUUUGUCGCGUCUGCCGUGAAAGUCCAAGGCUCAACCUUGGAUCUGCGGUGGGUACGGGCAGACUAGAGUGAUGUAGGGGAGACUGGAAUUCCUGGUGUAGCGGUGAAAUGCGCAGAUAUCAGGAGGAACACCGAUGGCGAAGGCAGGUCUCUGGGCAUUUACUGACGCUGAGGAGCGAAAGCAUGGGGAGCGAACAGGAUUAGAUACCCUGGUAGUCCAUGCCGUAAACGUUGGGCACUAGGUGUGGGGGACAUUCCACGUUUUCCGCGCCGUAGCUAACGCAUUAAGUGCCCCGCCUGGGGAGUACGGCCGCAAGGCUAAAACUCAAAGGAAUUGACGGGGGCCCGCACAAGCGGCGGAGCAUGCGGAUUAAUUCGAUGCAACGCGAAGAACCUUACCAAGGCUUGACAUGUGCCAGACCGCCUCAGAGAUGGGGUUUCCCUUCGGGGCUGGUUCACAGGUGGUGCAUGGUUGUCGUCAGCUCGUGUCGUGAGAUGUUGGGUUAAGUCCCGCAACGAGCGCAACCCUCGUUCCAUGUUGCCAGCACGUAAUGGUGGGGACUCAUGGGAGACUGCCGGGGUCAACUCGGAGGAAGGUGGGGAUGACGUCAAAUCAUCAUGCCCCUUAUGUCUUGGGCUUCACGCAUGCUACAAUGGCCGGUACAAUGGGUUGCGAUACUGUGAGGUGGAGCUAAUCCCUAAAAGCCGGUCUCAGUUCGGAUUGGGGUCUGCAACUCGACCCCAUGAAGUCGGAGUCGCUAGUAAUCGCAGAUCAGCAACGCUGCGGUGAAUACGUUCCCGGGCCUUGUACACACCGCCCGUCAAGUCACGAAAGUUGGUAACACCCGAAGCCGAUGGCCUAACCACCUUGUGUGGGGGGAGUCGUCGAAGGUGGGACUGGCGAUUGGGACUAAGUCGUAA
rnacentral:rRNA from 1 species